ACUUUUUUGGAGGCUCAUAGCGAUGCUGACGUGCAGCGCGCUCGUCAUACUUGGGUAUAUAGGGCGAACGAUUCAUCGAACCAUCUAGU
rnacentral:rRNA from 1 species